rnacentral:rRNA from 1 species
GACGAACGUUGGCGGCGUGCUUAAUACAUGCAAGUCAACUGAAGCAGUGGUAGCAAUAUCGCUGUGGAGGUGGCGCACGGGUGAGUAACACGUAGGUAAUCUGCCUUCAGGUCUGGCAUAACUCCGGGAAACCGGGGCUAAUAGCAGAUGAUGCAGCGGCUCGACAUCGAGACAGUUGUUAAAGCUAUGGCGCCUGAAGAUGAGCCUGCGUCUGAUUAGCUAGUUGGCGGGGUAACGGCCCACCAAGGCAACGAUCAGUAGCUGGUCUGAGAGGAUGAUCAGCCACGCUGGAACUGAGACACGGUCCAGACUCCUACGGGAGGCAGCAGUAAGGAAUAUUGCUCAAUGGGAGAAAUCCUGAAGCAGCAACGCCGCGUGAGGGACGAAGGGCUUUUGCUUGUAAGCCUCUGUAGUGAGAGAAAAAAAUCCCAAUCUUUGGGACAUGAUGGUAUCUCAAAAGUAAGCCCCGGCUAACUACGUG